AUACCUUUCUCGGCCUUUUGGCUAAGAUCAAGUGUAGUAUCUGUUCUUAUCAGUUUAAUAUCUGAUACGUGGGCCAUUGGCUCACAUGAUAUUAAAUUAAUUAUUUUAGGGAGAGGGUCCUAUGCAGUAGCUUGCUACUCGGGCACUCGAGUGUCGCCCAUGCGUUGCACUAUAGCAAGGGCCUGGCGCAUCCCAC